rnacentral:rRNA from 1 species
GACGAACGCUGGCGGCGUGCUUAACACAUGCAAGUCGAACGGAAAGGCCACUUUGGGGGUACUCGAGUGGCGAACGGGUGAGUAACACGUGAGUAACCUGCCCUUGACUUCGGGAUAACUUCAGGAAACUGGGGCUAAUACCGGAUAGGAAUCCUUGCUGCAUGGUGGGGGUUGGAAAGCUUCGGCGGUUCUGGAUGGACUCGCGGCUUAUCAGCUUGUUGGUGGGGUAGUGGCUUAACAAGGCUUUGACGGGUAGCCGGCCUGAGAGGGCGACCGGCCACAUUGGGACUGAGAUACGGCCCAGACUCCUACGGGAGGCAGCAGUGGGGAAUAUUGCACAAUGGGCGGAAGCCUGAUGCAGCAACGCCGCGUGCGGGAUGACGGCCUUCGGGUUGUAAGCCGCUUUCAGCAGGGGCGAAGCUUGUGGUGACGGUACCUGCAGAAGAAGCACCGGCUAACUACGUG